UGUCGGCGAUGACAGUGGAAGAUGGCGUCGCGAUAGUCGUUUGGCUAGAACGGGUGACAAUAGUCUGAAAUUAGGAGGAAUGUUGAAGGAACGUACUUUGCCGGCGACAUCCCCCCUCAAACUCCUUUUACGAAACAACGUUGUCUAGCAACAACGACCAAUACCUCUCCACCCAAAAUCGACGACGCCGGCGACAUAACCACCACCAAAUCGAAGGCUUUUGUUAGGCGAUAGGGCUUUAGCAGGUACGCUUUCACAAUUUAGGUUACUCAUUUCAAAUUUGGUUGCUCACGAAGGAUUGUUAAUUGGUUGUUCACGAAGAGUUGUU
rnacentral:lncRNA from 1 species